GCAUUGCUGUGGAGUUCCGUAAUAGGACGAAACGGCCGUCCAGUAU
rnacentral:hammerhead_ribozyme from 1 species